GCGGGAUUAGUAUAAUGGCAGUACGUUUCCUUCCCAAGGAAAAGGUGCGGGUUCGAUUCCCGUAUCCCGCU
rnacentral:tRNA from 1 species